CGCACCUUGCGCCCUCUGGUAUUCCGGAGGGCAUGCCUGUCUGAGUGUCAUGUAGACUCAAUCCCCUUGGGUUUUCCCUGGGGAGAUUGGAAUUGGGUGUUGCCGCUUACCCCGGCUCGCCUCAAAUGUCUCAGUGGGGAUGGCCCCUGUCGGGAGUGAUAAGUUUCUCUCGACGUCAAGGCUGUGAACCGCUCACAACAAACCUUCUUAUCUCUUGACCUCAGAUCAGGUAGGACUACCCGCUGAACUUAA
rnacentral:misc_RNA from 1 species